GAUGAACGCUGGCGGCGUGCCUAAUACAUGCAAGUCGAACGCGCAGCGAAAGGUGCUUGCACCUUUCAAGCGAGUGGCGAACGGGUGAGUAACACGUGGAUAACCUGCCUCAAGGCUGGGGAUAACAUUUGGAAACAGAUGCUAAUACCGAAUAAAACUUAGUAUCGCAUGAUACAAAGUUAAAAGGCGCUACGGCGUCACCUAGAGAUGGAUCCGCGGUGCAUUAGUUAGUUGGUGGGGUAAAGGCUUACCAAGACGAUGAUGCAUAGCCGAGUUGAGGGACUGAUCGGCCACAUUGGGACGGAGACACGGCCCAAACUCCUACGGGAGGCUGCAGUAGGGAAUCUUCCACAAUGGGCGCAAGCCUGAUGGAGCAACGCCGCGUGUGUGAUGAAGGCUUUCGGGUCGUAAAGCACUGUUGUAUGGGAAGAAAUGCUAAAAUAGGGAAUGAUUUUAGUUUGACGGUACCAUACCAGAAAGGGACGGCUAAAUACGUGCCAGCAGCCGCCGUAA
rnacentral:rRNA from 1 species